GACGUAGGGCGCGAGCGUUGUCCGGAUUUAUUGGGCGUAAAGAGCUCGUAGGCGGCUUGUCGCGUCGAAUGUGAAAUCUCAGGGCUCAACUCUGACAUUGCAUUCGAUACGGGCAGUCUAGAGUUCGGUAGGGGAGACUGGAAUUCCUGGUGUAGCGGUGGAAUGCGCAGAUAUCAGGAGGAACACCGGUGGCGAAGGCGGGUCUCUGGGCAGUAACUGACGCUGAGGAGCGAAAGCGUGGGGAGCGAACAGG
rnacentral:rRNA from 1 species